AGGUAAGCUACUAAGAGCGAAUGGUGGAUGCCUUGACUGGUAAAGGCGAUGAAGGACGUACUAGACUGCGAUAAGCUACGGGGAGCUGUCAAGAAGCUUUGAUCCGUAGAUUUCCGAAUGGGUCAACCCAAUGUAUAGAGAUAUACAUUACCUAUAUAGGAGCGAACGAGGGGAAUUGAAACAUCUUAGUACCCUCAGGAAAAGAAAUCAAUAGAGAUUGCGUCAGUAGCGGCGAGCGAAAGCGCAAGAGGGCAAACCCAGUGCUUGCACUGGGGGUUGUAGGACUGCAAUGUGCAAGAGGUAAGUUUAGCAGAACAUUCUGGAAAGUAUAACCAUAGAGGGUGAUAGUCCCGUAUGCGAAAAACAAACCUUAGCUAGCAGUAUCCUGAGUAGGGCGGGACACGAGGAAUCCUGUCUGAAUCCGGGUCGACCACGAUCCAACCCUAAAUACUAAUACCAGAUCGAUAGUGCACAAGUACCGUGAGGGAAAGGUGAAAAGAACUGAGGUGAUCAGAGUGAAAUAGAACCUGAAACCAUUUGCUUACAAUCAUUCAGAGCCCUAUGUAGCAAUACAGGGUGAUGGACUGCCUUUUGCAUAAUGAGCCUGCGAGUUGUGGUGUCUGGCAAGGUUAAGCAAACGCGAAGCCGUAGCGAAAGCGAGUCUGAAUAGGGCGCUUAGUCAGAUGCUGCAGACCCGAAACGAAGUGAUCUAUCCAUGAGCAAGUUGAAGCUAGUGUAAGAACUAGUGGAGGACUGAACCCAUAGGCGUUGAAAAGCCCCGGGAUGACUUGUGGAUAGGGGUGAAAGGCCAAUCAAACUUCGUGAUAGCUGGUUCUCUCCGAAAUAUAUUUAGGUAUAGCGUUGUGUCGUAAUAUAAGGGGGUAGAGCACUGAAUGGGCUAGGGCAUACACCAAUGUACCAAACCCUAUCAAACUCCGAAUACCUUAUAUGUAAUCACAGCAGUCAGGCGGCGAGUGAUAAAAUCCGUCGUCAAGAGGGAAACAACCCAGACUACCAGCUAAGGUCCCUAAAUCUUACUUAAGUGGAAAACGAUGUGAAGUUACUUAAACAACCAGGAGGUUGGCUUAGAAGCAGCCAUCCUUUAAAGAAAGCGUAAUAGCUCACUGGUCUAGUGAUUUUGCGCGGAAAAUAUAACGGGGCUAAAGUAAGUACCGAAGCUGUAGACUUAGUUUACUAAGUGGUAGGAGAGCGUUCUAUUUGCGUCGAAGGUAUACCGGUAAGGAGUGCUGGAGCGAAUAGAAGUGAGCAUGCAGGCAUGAGUAGCGAUAAUUAAUGUGAGAAUCAUUAACGCCGUAAACCCAAGGUUUCCUACGCGAUGC
rnacentral:rRNA from 1 species